UACAGAGGGUGCGAGCGUUAAUCGGAAUUACUGGGCGUAAAGCGCGCGUAGGCGGCUUUGCAAGUUCGGGUGUGAAAUCCCCAGGCUUAACCUGGGAACUGCAUUCGAGACUGCAUUGCUAGAGUAUGGGAGAGGGAAGUGGAAUUUCCGGUGUAGAGGUGAAAUUCGUAGAUAUCGGGAGGAACACCGGUGGCGAAGGCGGCGACCUGGGUAGAUGACUGACGCUGAGGUGACGAAAGCGUGGGGGAGCAAACAGG
rnacentral:rRNA from 1 species